rnacentral:rRNA from 1 species
GACGAACGCUGGCGGCGUGCCUAAUACAUGCAAGUAGAACGCUGAAGAGAGGAGCUUGCUCUUCUUGGAUGAGUUGCGAACGGGUGAGUAACGCGUAGGUAACCUGCCUUGUAGCGGGGGAUAACUAUUGGAAACGAUAGCUAAUACCGCAUAACAAUGGAUGACACAUGUCAUUUAUUUGAAAGGGGCAAUUGCUCCACUACAAGAUGGACCUGCGUUGUAUUAGCUAGUAGGUGAGGUAACGGCUCACCUAGGCGACGAUACAUAGCCGACCUGAGAGGGUGAUCGGCCACACUGGGACUGAGACACGGCCCAGACUCCUACGGGAGGCAGCAGUAGGGAAUCUUCGGCAAGGGGGGCAACCCUGACCGAGCAACGCCGCGUGAGUGAAGAAGGUUGUCGGAUCGUAAAGCUCUGUUGUAAGUCAAGAACGAGUGUGAGAGUGGAAAGUUCACACUGUGACGGUAGCUUACCAGAAAGGGACGGCUAACUACGUG